GACGAACGCUGGCGGCGUGCCUAAUACAUGCAAGUUGAGCGCUGAAGGUUGGUACUUGUACCAACUGGAUGAGCAGCGAACGGGUGAGUAACGCGUGGGGAAUCUGCCUUUGAGCGGGGGACAACAUCUGGAAACGAAUGCUAAUACCGCAUAAAAACUUUAAACACAAGUUUUAAGUUUGAAAGAUGCAAUUGCAUCACUCAAAGAUGAUCCCGCGUUGUAUUAGCUAGUUGGUGAGGUAAAGGCUCACCAAGGCGAUGAUACAUAGCCGACCUGAGAGGGUGGUCGGCCACAAUGGGACUGGGACAAGGCCCAAACUCCUACGGGAGGCAGCAGUAGGGAAUCUUCGGAAAUGGAGGAAAGUCUGGACGAGCAAAGCCGCGGGAGUGAAGAAGGUUGUCGGAUCGGAAAACUCUGUUGGUAGAGAAGAAAGUUGGUGAGAGUGGAAAGCUCAUCAAGUGACGGUAACUACCCAGAAAGGGACGGCUAACUACGUG
rnacentral:rRNA from 1 species